rnacentral:rRNA from 1 species
GUAGGGAAUAUUGGGCAAUGGGUGCAAGCCUGACCCAGCCAUCCCGCGUGCCGGAUGAAGGCCCUCUGGGUCGUAAACGGCUUUUGACGGUGAAGAACCGAAAGGGUGCGCCCUUUUUUGACGGUAGCCGUUGAAUAAGCACCGGCUAACUCCGUGCCAGCAGCCGCGGUAAUACGGAGGGUGCGAGCGUUGUCCGGAUUUAUUGGGUUUAAAGGGUGCGUAGGCUGGAGGGACAGUCAGCGGUGAAAAGCAGUUGCUCAACAAUUGUCUUGCCGCAGAUACUUCCUUUCUUGGAUGAGGAGGAGGCCACUGGAACGGAUGGUGUAGCGGUGAAAUGCAUAGAUAUCAUCCAGAACACCGAUUGCGAAGGCAGGUGGCUGCACCUUAAUCGACGCUGAUGCACGAAAGCAUGGGGAGCAAACAGGAUUAGAUACCCCAGUAGUCC